rnacentral:rRNA from 1 species
UACGGAGGGUGCAAGCGUUAUCCGGAUUCACUGGGUUUAAAGGGUGCGUAGGCGGACAGGUAAGUCAGUGGUGAAAUCUCUGGGCUUAACCCAGAAACUGCCGUUGAUACUAUUUGUCUUGAAUAUCCUGGAGGUAGGCGGAAUAUGUCAUGUAGCGGUGAAAUGCUUAGAUAUGACAUAGAGCACCGAUAGCGAAGGCAGCUUACUACAGGAUGAUUGACGCUGAGGCACGAAAGCGUGGGGAGCAAACAGG